AGAGUUUGAUCCUGGCUCAGGAUGAACGCUGGCGGCGUGCUUAACACAUGCAAGUCGAACGCACCUUCGGGUGAGUGGCGGACGGGUGAGUAACGCGUGGGAAUCUGCCCUUAGGAGGGGGAUAACGGCUGGAAACGGCCGCUAAUACCCCAUAUGCCGAGAGGUGAAACGAAUUUCGCCUGAGGAUGAGCCCGCGUCUGAUUAGCUAGUUGGUGGGGUAAGAGCCCACCAAGGCGACGAUCAGUAGCUGGUCUGAGAGGAUGAUCAGCCACACUGGGACUGAGACACGGCCCAGACUCCUACGGGAGGCAGCAGUGGGGAAUUUUCCGCAAUGGGCGAAAGCCUGACGGAGCAACGCCGCGUGAGGGAUGAAGGCCUCUGGGCUGUAAACCUCUUUUCUCAAGGAAGAAGACAUGACGGUACUUGAGGAAUAAGCCACGGCUAAUUCCGUGCCAGCAGCCGCGGUAAUACGGGGUGGCAAGCGUUAUCCGGAAUUAUUGGGCGUAAAGCGUCCGCAGGCGGCUCUGUAAGUCUGUUGUUAAAGCGUGGAGCUCAACUCCAUUUCAGCAAUGGAAACUACAGGGCUUGAGUGUGGUAGGGGCAGAGGGAAUUCCCGGUGUAGCGGUGAAAUGCGUAGAUAUCGGGAAGAACACCAGUGGCGAAGGCGCUCUGCUGGGCCAUAACUGACGCUCAUGGACGAAAGCCAGGGGAGCGAAAGGGAUUAGAUACCCCUGUAGUCCUGGCCGUAAACGAUGAACACUAGGUGUCGGGGGAAUCGACCCCCUCGGUGUCGUAGCCAACGCGUUAAGUGUUCCGCCUGGGGAGUACGCACGCAAGUGUGAAACUCAAAGGAAUUGACGGGGGCCCGCACAAGCGGUGGAGUAUGUGGUUUAAUUCGAUGCAACGCGAAGAACCUUACCAGGGUUUGACAUCCUGCGAAUCCCUUGGAAACUUGGGAGUGCCUUCGGGAGCGCAGAGACAGGUGGUGCAUGGCUGUCGUCAGCUCGUGUCGUGAGAUGUUGGGUUAAGUCCCGCAACGAGCGCAACCCACGUCUUUAGUUGCCAGCAUUCAGUUGGGCACUCUAGAGAGACCGCCGGUGAUAAACCGGAGGAAGGUGUGGAUGACGUCAAGUCAUCAUGCCCCUUACAUCCUGGGCUACACACGUACUACAAUGCUACGGACAGAGGGCAGCAAGCUCGCGAGAGUUAGCAAAUCCCAUAAACCGUGGCUCAGUUCAGAUCGUAGGCUGCAACUCGCCUACGUGAAGGAGGAAUCGCUAGUAAUCGCAGGUCAGCAUACUGCGGUGAAUACGUUCCCGGGCCUUGUACACACCGCCCGUCACACCAUGGAAGUUGGCCAUGCCCGAAGUCGUUACUCCAACCCUUGUGGAGGAGGACGCCGAAGGUGGGGCUGAUGACUGGGGUGAAGUCGGAACAAGGUA
rnacentral:rRNA from 1 species